rnacentral:rRNA from 1 species
ACGCUGACAGAAUGCUUAACACAUGCAAGUCUUUGGCGAAACUAUGCUUGCACAGCCUAGCCAAGGCGGACGGGUGAGUAACGCGUAAGGAACUUGCCCUGCAGUCAGGGAUAACAGACGGAAACGACUGAUAAGACCUGGUAAAGUCAGGCGGACUCAUGUCCAGCCUGAUGAAAAGAGAUGCUGCAGGAGAGCCUUGCGUCCUAUUAGCUUGUUGGUGGGGUAACGGCCCACCAAGGCGAUGAUAGGUAGCCGGCCUGAGAGGGUGGACGGCCACAAGGGGACUGAGAUACGGCCCUUACUCCUACGGGAGGCAGCAGUGGGGAAUAUUGGACAAUGGGGGCAACCCUGAUCCAGCAAUUCUGUGUGCACGAUGAAGGUUUUCGGAUUGUAAAGUGCUUUCAACAGGGAAGAAAAAAAUGACGGUACCUGCAGAAGAAGCGACGGCUAAAUACGUGCCAGCAGCCGCGGUAAUACGUAUGUCGCAAGCGUUAUCCGGAAUUAUUGGGCAUAAAGGGCAUCUAGGCGGCCAGAUAAGUCUGGGGUGAAAACUUGCGGCUCAACCGCAAGCCUGCCCUGGAAACUAUGUGGCUAGAGUACUGGAGAGGUGGACGGAACUGCACGAGUAGAGGUGAAAUUCGUAGAUAUGUGCAGGAAUGCCGAUGAUGAAGAUAGUUCACUGGACGGUAACUGACGCUGAAGUGCGAAAGCUAGGGGAGCAAACAGGAUUAGAUACCCUGGUAGUCCUAGCUGUAAACGAUGAUUACUGGGUGUGGGCAUGAAGAGUGUCCGUGCCGAAGCUAAUGCGAUAAGUAAUCCGCCUGGGGAGUACGGCCGCAGGGCUGAAACUCAAAGGAAUUGACGGGGACCCGCACAAGCGGUGGAGCAUGUGGUUUAAUUCGACGC